CCGGCUGUUCAGCCAGCCGAACCGACCGGAACAUGCGUGGGGGGUAACUCCCAGGUGUGAAGCUUCCGGAAACGUACCCGCCGUGAACGGUAGGCCAAACCGCGAGGGGAGGCCGAAUCUGCCAGCAACAGGCAGUGAGGGG
rfam:Leptospirillum sp. Group IV &apos;TBA BS&apos; genomic scaffold D084_Lepto4S00196, whole genome shotgun sequence.